UCCCCGUUAGUAGAGGGGUGAAUAUCCCCGCCUGUCACGCGGGAGACCGGGGUUCAAUUCCUCGAUGGGGAA